CUCGUAGGUGGCCCACUAAGUCAGACGUGAAAUCCCUCAGCUUAACUGGGGAACUGCGUCUGAUACUGGUGGGCUUGAGUGCAGGAGAGGAACGCGGAAUUCCAGGUGUAGCGGUGAAAUGCGUAGAUAUCUGGAGGAACACCGGUGGCGAAGGCGGCGUUCUGGACUGCAACUGACACUGAGGAACGAAAGCCAGGGGAGCAAACG
rnacentral:rRNA from 1 species